CCCUGGUGGCGAGUGGCGAACGGGUGAGUAAUAUAUCGGAACGUACCCGGAAAUGGGGGAUAACGUAGCGAAAGUUACGCUAAUACCGCAUAUGCCCUGAGGGGGAAAGUGGGGGAUUCGCAAGGACCUCACGUUUUCGGAGCGGCCGAUAUCAGAUUAGCUAGUUGGUGGGGUAAAGGCCUACCAAGGCGACGAUCUGUAGCUGGUCUGAGAGGACGACCAGCCACACUGGAACUGAGACACGGUCCAGACUCCUACGGGAGGCAGCAGUGGGGAAUUUUGGACAAUGGGCGCAAGCCUGAUCCAGCCAUGCCGCGUGUGUGAAGAAGGUCUUCGGAUUGUAAAGCACUUUAAGUUGGGAGGAAGGGCAGUAAGUUAAUACCUUGCUGUUUUGACGUUACCAACAGAAUAAGCACCGGCUAACUUCGUGCCAGCAGCCGCGGUAAUACGAAGGGUGCAAGCGUUAAUCGGAAUUACUGGGCGUAAAGCGCGCGUAGGUGGUUUUGUAAGUUGGAGGUGAAAUCCCCGGGCUCAACCUGGGAACUGCCUCCAAAACUGCAUGACUAGAGUACGGUAG
rnacentral:rRNA from 1 species